CCUACGGGUGGCAGCAGUGGGGGAUAUUGCACAAUGGGGGAAACCCUGAUGCAGCGACGCCGCGUGGGAGAAGAAGUAUUUCGGGAUGUAAAGCCCUAUCAGCAGGGAAGAAGAAAUGACGGUACCUGAGUAAGAAGCACAGGCUAAAGACGUGCCAGCAGCCGCGGUAAUACGUAGGGUGCAAGCGUUAUCCGGAUUUACUGGGUGUAAAGGGAGAGCAGGCGGCACGGCAAGCGUGAUGGGAAAGCCCGCGGCCCAACCGCGGGACUGCAUUUGGAACUACCGGGCUGGAGUGCCGGAGAGGUAGGCGGAUUUCCUAGUGUAGCGGUGAAAUGCGUAGAUAUUAGGCGGAACACCAGUGGCGAAGGCUGCCUACUGGACGGUGACUGACGCUGAUGCUCGAAAGCGUGGGGAGCAAACAGGAUUAGAUACCCCAGUAGUC
rnacentral:rRNA from 1 species